UACAGAGGUGGCAAGCGUUGUUCGGAAUUACUGGGCGUAAAGGGCGCGUAGGCGGUUCUGUAAGUCCCGCGUGAAAUCCCCCGGCUCAACUGGGGAACUGCGCGGGAAACUGUGGGGCUAGAGUUCAGGAGAGGGAAGCGGAAUUCCGGGUGUAGCGAUGAAAUGCGUAGAUAUCCGGAGGAACACCGGUGGCGAAGGCGGCUUCCUGGACUGACACUGACGCUGAGGCGCGAAAGCUAGGGGAGCAAACGGG
rnacentral:rRNA from 1 species